CAUUAAGAAGCUGAAUAGUAUUAACCUUUUAAGUUAAAGACUGAGAGUUAAAAUCUCCCCUUAAUGA
rfam:Ovis aries breed Texel chromosome 1, whole genome shotgun sequence.